AUACAAAUACAAACUUAAAUAUACAACAUAAGUUGUGAGUUUUAAUACAAAUAUUAUCUUCUAGACAGUAUUCAAACUCAAAAUAAGUCCUCAAUACAUUUAUUAUCACACUAUUUCACAGAAUAGUGAGGACUACUAAUGCAAACAUCUAGACCGGCACUCCAUUCCCCAACUAGUCCCAGCUAUAUUCUCAUUUCCUGAAGAGAACAAUGAAAGCAAAGGGUGAGCUCAACUAGCCCAGUAAGAAAUAUUAUGACUAAGAUAAUGCAGAAUAAUUUAUCGUUAGCCUUCAACAGUGUUAAACUGAUAAAAUAUAAUAAACAUCAAGUUUAACUGCAGCGGAACAAGCAAUCCAUUAGAAGAGUCAAGUAGAGCAUAAAAUCUACUAUCUUCUAUGAUUUAAAAGGUUUUUCAUCACUUUUAUCGCUGAGACUCAGCUUAAUAAAUAAUCCACAUCAUCGAAUCACCCCUGCACUACGGCUAAGGAUAUUCAUUAGUAUCACGACCACAAAUUAUCCAUGCACUACGGGCCAAGGAUAUUCGUGUUUUUAUCAAUGGUCAUGAUCAUGCCAACAACUGUCCAUCAAUGCACUACAGGCCAAUGAGGACUUUUACCACAUCAUUUGUAACAUUACGGUCAUGAUUAUACCGAAUAAUCCCUGGUCAUAAUCAUACCAAGUUCAUUUAUGCACUACGGCCACAGAUGACUUUCAACAUAAUAUAAGCAUGAGGAUGAUGACAAUGAUAUAAGAAUUAAAUUAAAAGAAAGCAAAGGAUAAAUUUUUAAAGAUUUAUAACUUAAUUUAUCCAGAAUUCAAUAAUGUCCAAAUUGUCAACAUGAUACAGCUUUGUGGAGUAAAAUUCAAGAAUAAUAUUGUAUCAAAAAUGAUUUGGACCGAAAAGAAAUUAAUUUUUGUAAUGAAUAGUACCCCGGGUGAAUAGUAACUGGGUGAAUAGUAUUCUGUGAAUAGUAACUUUGGGAAUAGUAACCCGGUGAAUAGUACCCCGACAUGAAAAAUUUAAAACUUAUCAAGAAUGCUCAGAAUAAUAUUUUCAUGAAAAGAUACUGGAUGAAGCGUAAAUAUCAAGGUUAUUCUACUAAUUUCAUGGAGUAUAUAAGCCAAAACUUUAACCAAAUGAGUAUAGAAUUCGAAAUCUGAAACGAAAUAAUAUUACUUACAUACUACAGAGUAUGGAAGAAAAUAUUAUUUUAUACGAAUACUGAACAAAAAUAAUAUUCCUUACCUUAAAAAGAAGAGUAUUCCGACUGGUAGGGCGGGGAUAUUCUUGAAUAAAACUUUCACUGUUUUCUACGCUCAAAGCUUUCUAAAACUCGAAAAAAAUACGCUCAAUAUUAUAAAAGAAGAAUUCUCUGAUUCUGGUGUGAUUUUCAAUUCUAACUAAGCAUCCUAUUUAUAGGAGAUUGGAAAGGAUACUAUUUGAAUUUAGAAAAUCACGUGUGCACAGUAGGAGUUCACGGGCAAGAAUCGUCAGAAGAAUUUUUUUUUUUUUCUGAAUUCACUAUGCAGACACUAUGCAGGCACUAUGCAGUCACGGGUGGUUGCAUGUGGAAAUAUCAAUUUUCAAAAAAAAAUGUAAAAUAAAAGAAAAGGAAAGGUGUUGUUCAAACUAGUUUCAGUAUGAAUAAUUCUAGGGGAACACCUCCCAAAAAAUAUAUAGUAUUUAUUUCAACUGAAUUUUUUGUAAAAAAUAGUGUUUUGGGUAUAAUUUAGAUACAUACAAUAAACAGGGUCUUUAUAGUUUGUACAACCAUGUUUCUUCCCUGUAUCUAAAUUACACCUAAAACACUAUUUUUUACAAUAAUUUCAGUUGAAAUAAAUAUUAUAUAUUUUUUGAGAGGCACUAAAAAAAAAUAUCGCUAGCAAUGUCAACAAAAAAUAUCCCCCUAAAAGGACUGUUUCAGUAUAGAAACUUUUUCGACCCAACAUUAAAACUACUGUAAAUGUCAUUACAUUUUUUUUAAGACAAAACCUAUAUUAUAUUUUUAACAUCAAAUUAUAAGACUUUAUGUUUAUCACUCAUCCAAAAAUGAUUGACGCAAAUUAAAUUAGAUAAAUGUAUUAAAAGUUGUAGUAAAAAAAAAUACGUAAGUUAUUUAAUGUUCAACAAAAUAUGUUAACAUAGCUAAAUAUUUGAUAUAACCUUCAUCGCAACAUGAUCUUACAAUUCAUUAUUGUAUGUUAAAUAAGGUUGCAAUAUUUACUCUCGGGAUUCAGUCAUUUUGACUUAUAAAAAUUAAUUUAACACGUUUAUUUAAAUAAUCAAACUUUGACUAUUUCAUAUAUUCAUAACACUACGAAACCGGCGCAUCUCCAAGUGGCCAAUAACCAUUUAUUUCAUAUUUAUUAUUAUCAGUUUUUUCUUUUUCUAUCCGAUGUUUCAUUGACUUCCAUUGUUUAAAUAUUUCAUGUUACCUCAUAUAAAUAUAUUUCUUGCACUCCAACAGAAAUAAAUAAAUAAAUAAAUAUACCUUUAGCACCACCACCUUUAUAAAACUCCUUCCAAUCAUUGACUCCCUUUUUCAUCAUCUCCAUGGACUACUCCGACCACCUCUCCGGUAAGUCUCCGCUGCGCGAACUCCAGGGACCCCGCCCGACACCUCUCAAAGUACGAAAAGAUUCCCACAAGAUCAGAAAACCUCCCGCUGUGCCACAACAACCGUCAAAUCAACAACAAACCCUAGUUCACCGGCCACCAGUAAUUAUUUACAUGGUUUCUCCGAAAAUAAUCCAUGCAAACCCUAAUGAGUUCAUGCAGCUAGUGCAACGUCUCACCGGCCCUAAUUCUUCAUCGUCUCCGGUUAGUUCAUCUUCUUCUUUUGUUCAAGAUAAUAGUGGUGCUGCAAUUUCUCCGGCUGCUCGGUUCGCUUCCCUAGAAAAAAUUAAGUCCCCCGGAGGGAAAAAUUCUUUACCACAAAAUGGUGAAAUGGGAAUUGUUGAAGGGGUAGAUUUAAGCACGGAUAUCGAUAGAAUUACCGGGCUGUUUCCGGGUAUUUUAUCGCCCGGUCCGACCUCUCUUCCACCGGUUCCACCAAACUUUUUUUCACCACCGUCUGAUCCGAAUCCUCUAGGGUUUUUUCAUGAUUUUAGCCCUGUGUUACAUGGUGACAAAAAUCUUAUGGAAGGUAGUUUUAUGCCUAGUCCUUCAAACAAUUUUCUCUCUCCUAAUAUAAAUUAUUCCCCUACUCCAUCUCUAGAUAUUUUCAAUAAUUUCUUUGACAAUUAAUUAACCCAUUUCCUGUCUCUUAUACCAUUUUUUUUGUCAUAUAUACUUUUUGGAAUGUAAUAGCAAAAUAAACAUUAGUAAAUUAAAUGAUUGUUUUUCUCUUUUGUUUUAUUAAUUUGUUCUUUUUCAGAUAUGAUUGAUUAAUAUGUUCAUGUUAAUUCUCC
rnacentral:lncRNA from 1 species